CGCGGGUCCAAGCCUGUAGUCCCAAAUCGGAUAAUCUCUGCAGCUGGCUACACGCAAAAGAGAAGCCAGGCAACAGACAUAUUACAGAAGAAAGCUCUCGACUCCGAGG
ensembl:misc_RNA predicted gene, 27611